rnacentral:ncRNA from 18 species
AUCCCCGACCUUCUUUCAGGUGUUGGGUCCGAAAUCUCGGCCAAACUUAAACAGGAAGUCGGUGCGGCAAAUUUCGUUUUGCCCAUGCCGACGCUGCCCCCGCAACGGUAGAUAAGUAAAGAACCGCGUUUUUGCCACUGUGCGUUUCGCAUGGGAAGGUGCGCGGUUUAGGCCCUCAAGCCGCUUAUGAGCCCGGAGACUGGCCCGGAAGAUCAUUCGAGAC